UACGUAGGGGGCGAGCGUUGUCCGGAAUCAUUGGGCGUAAAGCGCGUGUAGGCGGCCCGGUAAGUCCGCUGUGAAAGUCCAGGGCUCAACCCUGGGAUGCCGGUGGAUACUGUCGGGCUCGAGUCCGGAAGAGGCGAGUGGAAUUCCUGGUGUAGCGGUGAAAUGCGCAGAUAUCAGGAGGAACACCGGUGGCGAAGGCGGGUCUCUGGGCCGUAACUGACGCUGAGGAGCGAAAGCGUGGGGAGCGAACAGG
rnacentral:rRNA from 1 species